GGUAGGUUGGCUGAGCUGGUUUAAGGCGUCUCACUGCUAACGAGAAUAGCGGGUAACACCGUUCGUGGGUUCAAAUCCCACACCUACCGCCA
rnacentral:tRNA from 4 species